rnacentral:rRNA from 1 species
UGAGUAACACGUAUCCAACCUGCCGUCUACUCUUGGCCAGCCUUCUGAAAGGAAGAUUAAUCCAGGAUGGCAUCAUGAGUUCACAUGUCCGCAUGAUUAAAGGUAUUUUCCGGUAGACGAUGGGGAUGCGUUCCAUUAGAUAGUAGGCGGGGUAACGGCCCACCUAGUCAACGAUGGAUAGGGGUUCUGAGAGGAAGGUCCCCCACAUUGGAACUGAGACACGGCCCAG